GUUUGCAGACUUGAUGAUCAUAUGUGGCGCAGCCGGGUCUAUUUCACAGUUGAUCUUCAUGCCCAAUUUAGUUCCAGCUUUGAAAGAGGAGAGAUUGCUUUCAAUUGGUCUUUUCUUUGCUUCUGCCCAUAUGUUCCUCCUCUGUGUGGCAUGGUCUUCAUGGAUGCGGAGCAUUGUCUCGAAACAAGUAGCAUCGUACGAACAGG